rnacentral:rRNA from 1 species
GUACUCUGAAGAGAGAGUAAACAGUACGUGAAGCCGCAUGCAGGUAAACGGGUGGCGUCAAGCUGCGAGCCCGGAGGAUUCAACUGAUUAGGAUGUAGUGUACGCGCGCCUGGUGCGUCGAGAGACCGGAAUAAGAUGUUUUGCGGUCCGCUCCUCUGCUAGGAGUGGGGCGCUAUCAGUGUGCACGCGAAAGCGUGCCUGCUGGUUGUCGCUAUGCAUGCCGGGUGGGUGCCGGAGCAUGCCGCUCAUCUGUUGGGUCACCUAGUCAGUGCAUUUUCUCCGCGGUGAACACCACGACCGGUGGAACUGCCAGUCUGCUGUCAUCAAGUCGUGUCCAUCUGACCCCUCCCUCUUGCUCCUUUGUGGGUGAUGGGUGGAUGUGUGUGUUGGGUGGGUACGAUCGCGGAUAGAGUCGGUGGACGGCGCAGUGGUGUCUCGGCACCGCCGCGUGUUAUCGUGCACUCUCCGUUCUAAGCGAUUAGUGGGGCUGACUGAGCGCUGUAACUGCCUCCCCAUUGAUCGGCGGAUAGCAGUGGUAAAAAUGACUGUGCAGGGCACCGGAGUUGUCCACCUCAUUCAUUUAUUCAUUCGUGAAUAAGUGAAAAUGGCACCCGACACGCACGUUACAGGUGCUAUGCAAUCGGGGCGCGCCGCCGCCUGUCUGGUGUUGGGCCUGACCGUCGUGUUGCCUGCGCAAAGUGGGUCCGGCGGUGGUUGCAGACACUUGGCAAUGGUAGUGUGUAGCGCGUUUCGGGUGUGUGUGGUGCC